rnacentral:rRNA from 1 species
AGAAUCAACGCUGGCGGCGUGCCUAACACAUGCAAGUCGAACGAGAAAGUGGAGCAAUCCAUGAGUAAAGUGGCGCACGGGUGAGUAACACGUGACUAACCUACCCUUGAGUGGGGGAUAACCUAGAGAAAUCUGGGCUAAUACCGCAUAAUACCUUCGGGUCAAAGGAGCAAUUCGCUUAAGGAGGGGGUCGCGGCCGAUUAGUUAGUUGGCGGGGUAAUGGCCCACCAAGACUGUGAUCGGUAUCCGGCCUGAGAGGGCGCGACGGACGACGACUGGAACUGAAACACGGUCCAGACUCCUACGGGAGGCAGCAGUGGGGAAUUUUGCGCAAUGGGGGAAACCCUGACGCAGCAACGCCGCGUGGAGGAUGAAGUCCCUUGGGACGUAAACUCCUUUCGACCGGGAAGAUGAUGACGGUACCGGUGGAAGAAGCCCCGGCUAACUUCGUGCCAGCAGCCGC